GAGGGGAGAGAAGAGGGAGGGGGACAGAUACGUGCACAGUGCUAAAGAAAGGAAAUUUUAGGAAAAAGAGCACAGUAAGACUGACUUUGUGAGGGGAGAAAACGUUUUACUGUUUUUUCAGUUACCAAGCUGAUUUUUUAAGAUUCCCAAGUUCAUUUUUAAGAUUUGGUGGCUUUUACACUCAAAAAGGCAUGAAACUUCUCCUAACACAUUUUUUUCAGCAAAAAGCUUAAAAUACAUAACUAUCACUCCGAUUGCAGGACUCAAAGAUAACAACAACAAAAAAACUUUUUGUCUGCAGCUCAAUCCAGGUUUUAAUGCAUUUUGGUUUUCUCUGUGCUAAUAGACGUCAGAAAAGUGAUUGCAU